rnacentral:rRNA from 1 species
UUGAUCCUGGCCAAGAUAACGCUGGCGGUCUGUUUAACACAUGCAAGUCGAACGCUACCUACGUGUUGAGUGGCGGACAGGUGAGUACCGCUUAAUAAUCUGUCUUGGAUGUGGCGACAAGCAGUGGAUACGGUGUGUAAUACUGGAUUAGCCUUUGGUGUAACACAUUUAUUGCCCCUGAAGGAACUCGCGUCUGAUUAGCUCUUUCGUGAGGUAAACGCUCAGCUGAGCAGCGAGCAGUAGCUGGUCUGAGAUGACGAUCAGCCACACUGGUGACUGAGAUACGGACCUGACUCCUACGGGAGGCAGUAAUGAUGGAAGUCCCCAGUAUGGGCGAAAGCCUGACGUGAGCAUCAUCGCGUGAGGGCGGAAGGCUCUUGGGUUGUAACCCUCUUUUCUCAGGAAAGAAGCUCUGACGGUACCUGAUGAAUCUCUCUCGACUAACUCCGUGCCAGCAUCCGCGGUUAUACGGAGGAGGCCAGCGUUAUCCGGAAUUAUUGGGCGUACCGCGUCCGGAGGUGGCGAUUCUAGUCUGAUGUCAGAGCACGGUGCUUGACUCCGUUAAGGCCGUGGAGACUGAUUCGCUAUAGUGCCUGUAAGAGUAGAGGGAAUUCCCUGGUGUCGCGCUGAAAUGCGUA